GAUAUUCGACGUCAUAAACACCAUCAAGUUUGGUGUUUAUGACGUCGAUAUUCGACGUCAUAAACACCAUCAAGUUUGGUGUUUAUGACGUCGAUAUUCGACGUCAUAAACACCAUCAAGUUUGGUGUUUAUGACGUCGAUAUUCGACAUCAUAAACACCAUCAAGUUUGGUGUUUAUGACGUCGAUAUUCGACGUCAUAAACACCAUCAAGUUUGGCGUUUAUGACGUCGAUAUUCGACGUCAUAAACACCAUCAAGUUUGGUGUUUAUGACGUCGAUAUUC
rnacentral:miRNA from 1 species